rnacentral:rRNA from 1 species
GACAGAGGUGGCAAGCGUUGUUCGGAUUUACUGGGCGUAAAGAGUGCGUAGGUGGUGAGGUAAGACCUGUGGGAAAGACCUGGGCUUAACCCAGGAAGGUCGCAAGUGACUGCCUCGCUUGAGGACGGGAGAGGAGAGCGGAAUUCCCGGUGUAGCGGUGAAAUGCGUAGAGAUCGGGAGGAACACCGGUGGCGAAGGCGGCUUCCUGGACCGGUAUUGACGCUGAGGCGCGAAAGCUAGGGGAGCAAACGGG